UCCCGGCUGAAUGCCAUAUGACCGCCUUAUUAAAAAUAUUGCUUUCUACGACAUUGGUAAUAACGACAUACCUCAUAAAACGACCGCAUUUAACUAAUAUUUCGGAGAAUUAGAUCUGUUAGAACGACCGGCUAAGCUGUAUUGUAAACAAUUUGAAUAGGUAUCCACAUUUGUCUUCAAUGGCUUUUAAAAUCAGGAAAGAAAACAAUAGGAUUUAGUUUAGUGUAGGGUCUUUUCUAAUUCUUAGAAACAAAACACGUGCAUGCGGUAGUCAAAGCCCACUUCUUCAUAUCUCUUCAGUUAGUUUGUUACUUAUCUAUACACAAGACGCACCAAAACUUUGUGGAGUUAUUCGUGAAACUUUCAAAAUCUCGCAAAGAUGCAGAAAACAAAUUAAUAUUGAAGAAAAAUCGCGUAUUAUGUAAUUAUAUUUUUCCAAUAAUUCCCUAUCGAUUUGUUUGUACUUGCACGAUACACAUUAAACAUCACCGGUUGUUACGACUAUCGGUUUUUACGACUGAAUAUGAGCAGUCCCUUCGAUGUCGUUAUAACAGAUUUUGACUGUAAAUAGGUUUAUUUUAUCCAAUGUCCAAUGUCCAAUUGUCCACUGCUUGAGCGAGAUGCCGCGAGAUGCUACCGUGAAGUGCGUAAUGACAUUUUCGUACUUGUCCCAGAGACGGAGAAUAUUAUUAUUCACACUAAUCGUUUCUUGUCCCUCAAAAUUUCCAACGGUAAAUUCUUUACAGAGACCAAUGUUGCAAAGCGUCAACUUUAAUUUCCAAACGUUAAUAUUGAAAUUUAGCAGUAAAUUUACAAAAACACAAACUGAAUUUAGUCCCCGACAGGAUUUGAACUCGUGAUAUACAUUUCUGUAGACGCUUUCAGAGACCUUGAUGGCAUUGAUCUUGGUGUGAAAUCAUUAAUUUAUAUCUUUAGAGAAGGAAAAAACAUGUCGCAAUUUUCUAGAGAAACUGGAGUUCACAGAAAAACAGUUAUAUUCUUGGUAUGACGAUAUCAAGACGAAGAACCUUUGCUGCAUCUUCAAAGGUCCUGUAGACCACGACUCAUAUAUAUGCCACAAAAUGCCCAAAAUAUGUUUCGAAUAUGAAGAAAGUGGAUUUAAACCGAAUAAUGACUGUGCCGGCAUAAUCAACACAAUUCAAUAUAAUUUAACUGCAUUGUAGAUGUA